UAAUUUUUUUUCAAUGUUGAGUAAUUGGCUUAGUGGUUAAAAAGAAACAAGGAGAGAGUUCAAUUCCUUUUCCAUGCAAAAUGGCUUAUUUUUUGCUAAUUUUUCUCCUUUCCCUAUUUUUGUGUUGCCCAAACCUAGUAACCCUAGGAAUUUAUAUCACUUCUUCUUUUUUUCCAGCUAUGUCCUCUAUUCAUUCACUCCUCUUGCCUCCCCUCCCAUCUUCCUCAUUCUUCUUUAAAAUUUUUUUUCUAGGAUUUCAUUAUAGUUGUGCCGCCCCAUCGCUAAGGCCUUUACUUUUGUCUCUCCAGCCACCUUUCUAGUUGUUUUAACCUUCUAAACCAGCCCUAAUUUCUUCCCUAAACUCAUCUUUAAGCCGCCCCUAUCAACCCCCUUUUACCGUCCAGUGCUGCCCCCUCUCUUUGGUUCGUAGUGGUGCUAGUGCUGGUUCGAACAUCCUGGAUCAGCAGUGAAGUCAGGUUUCGUUCGCGCCUUCAUUUCGUAUCAAAUCAGUGUACGUUUAAGGUGUUAGAUCGGAAACACAGACUCUUAUGGCUUAGUGCUGCGAAGUGCGAAAUAAGGUGUGAGUCCUUUCCUAUGUUUUAAAUAGCUUAAAAUUGUUAUAAAAUAUGUUUGGAUAGAAAAUUUACUUGCUGGUUUUUGGGAUGGUCAAAUGGCCUAAUUAAAAUAAGGUGUUGAGCUAGGUACGUACUCUAAUUGAAAGACCGAAUGUUAAAGGCCCAAAUUGGAUUGAUUGUGGUAUGAAUCAGCUGAUUGUGAAAUAUGACACAGUGUUGUAACUGAUUGAUGGCAUGCUUGGUAUAUCGAUCUACUGUUUGCUAAUUUCUGUUGGUCGUAUUUGAAUUGUAUGUGUAUAUAGCAUGCUGAGAUUUAGGACACUGAUUGUGGUUCGUGUAAAAUGCCAUGUAUGAAAUUGAGCUUGUAUGCAAUUAAAAUUACAUACCUUAUGUAAAAAUGAUUGAAUGGAAAGCGUGUAUGCCUGCCACCAUUAUUGCUAAAAGAAAAGUAUACAAACUGUACUCCUACACCAUAUAUUGAUGUUCAUGUUAAGCAUGCCACUAUACCGUGAUUGAUAUUGAUAGGAUGAAAUGCUCAUUGAUUGGAUGCCAUAUCUCACAUACAUGGGGUGGGUUAUUGUGGUUGAUAGAAGAGUUCUAUGGAGUACUGAUAGCAAUUUAUGUCUGCAUUAUUGUUGUCAAUGCACUACACUGGGAGUACCAAGGAGAUUGGUGAUUUAUUGCAUUAUUGGCAAUUUUUAUCUGCAACCGUAUUGUGUAUUCACAACUUAUUGGCAGCAUAUUAUCUUGCAAAUUGAUACUGGUGGCUUAUCCACAAAUUAUUGGCAGCCUGUCUGCAUAAUGUUUUUAUUGGUAGUAUAUUUGCACUACUAUAUUGGUGGUUUACCCACAUCAAGCUUGGCUCGCAUUGUUAGCGUUUGGCAGACGAGUUCUGGAGAACUCUUGGAGUGUAGCAAAUGCAUAGGAAAUCUCUUCUACAUUACAUCAUAAGCAUGACUUAUAUGUUGGAAUUGAAAUGAUAUUGAGAUGUGCCAUGAAUAGAACUGUAAUGAAAUCAUUGAUUGUUAUACUAUUGUUGACUCACAUGGAACGUUUAUAUGCUCACCCCCUAGUCUUAACUUUUCAUGUAAUGAACAAGAUUAGGACUGAACCAGAGAUGCAAAUGUAUCAUGGACUUUGAACUCUUUCCUUUUUGAAUUGAUUUUCUUUUAAGUUUUUAUUUUCGUUUUUGGGACUGUAAAGUUUAAAUACGGACUAUGGUUUGUGGAUUUUGGACUUGGGAUUAUGUAUGCAUUUAUUCAACACACUGGAAAUGUAUGUAAGCCGGUAAUUGCAUGUUAUUCGACUUAACUAAAACUUGACACAAUUAGUAUUUUCUAUUGCAUUAAAGGAUAACGAGUUUUUUUUGAAAACAAAGUGACAAAUAAUGAAUUUCCCAAAAAUGUCACUAUUAUUAGUAAAAUGGAUCUUAAGUAUAAAUGGCUAAAUAAGUGAAUGUUUUCAAACUAAUUUAGGUGCAACUGUAGUUUUACCAAAGUGAUACAAAAUAGGGUUUUUAUGGUAUGUUGGGUUACAUAGUCAUUUCGGUGACUAAUGUAGUCUUCACGAUCUAGCCAUAAUGUCUAAGUUAGGUUGGGGAGGUUAUAGGACAACUCAUCCCUUUCAUAGUGAGGGACACCAAAAUAGUCACUAAUUGCAUGCGAUGAGAUGUUAACAACCUUGUUUCGGAAAUACACCUUUUUUUGUCAGAAAAUUUUAAGUUGGACUAAAACUCCAAAACAAUCAAUAUCACUACCGGGGUUGUCGGAACAAAGGCGAAACUCAUCGAACAAGGAAAACGAAUGAGAUUCCAAACUUCCUCACAAUGAGAGGUCGAAGGGUCAAAGCCUUAUUCAAUGAUAAAUGAGCAUCCUUGAAUGGAUAAAAAAAAGUCAUCAACCUCUUUUGAUUUGAACUUAAUUGAAUGAUACUCCAAUUCCAAAGGUGGCUCGGGUUGGUAUCUCGGUCAUUUUGUUGUUCUAGGAGGCAUGGUACUAUCUUUUAAACUAGAAUAACUAUAAAAAAUAUACUAACCAACUAACCCGUAACAAAUCAGCACCAAAAAUAAAUAACAAGAUAAUGAAUGCAAAUAAAUGAAAGAAAAAGAAAACUUAAAUUGUGUUGUUUGAAAUGGAGUUGUGGUGUGAAAUGAUAAAGCUCCAUGUUUCCAAAGUAAGAAGAGAAUGAAACCUACAAAGAAAGAAAGAAAAGCAAAGACAAGAAAAUGGAUUGAAAUCAAAGUGAAAUUGAGUGAAGAUUUGGAAAGAAUUUGAGAGAAAAAAAAGAAAGGGUGAAAGUGUUUGGGGUUUUAGGGAUUCAAAAUUUGAAGGAUUUGGGAAAAAUUGAGAGA